rnacentral:rRNA from 1 species
AGGACGAACGCUGGCGGCGUGCUUAACACAUGCAAGUCGAGCGGUGAUCCUCCUUCGGGGGGUGAUCAGCGGCGAACGGGUGAGUAACACGUGGGCAACCUGCCCCUCACACUGGGAUAACCUCGGGAAACCGGGGCUAAUACCGGAUACGACCUCGAGCGGCAUCUCUUGAGGUGGAAAGCUCCGACGGUGAGGGAUGGGCCCGCGGCCUAUCAGCUUGUUGGUGGGGUAAUGGCCUACCGAAGGCGACGACGGGUAG